rnacentral:tRNA from 1 species
CGGGAGGUAGCUCAGCCUGGCAGAGCUUCCGGCUGUAGACCGGACCGUCGCAGGUUCAAAUCCUGCCCUCCCGACCA